rnacentral:pre_miRNA from 1 species
ACAGGGAGGUAGGGUGGGGUCAGGUGUAUUCGGUUAUGUCCUCGGGUAGUCGGAUAUUCGAAUCCCUGCCCCCAGCCAAGCUAUUAC